rnacentral:rRNA from 1 species
CCUACGGGUGGCUGCAGUGGGGGAUAUUGCACAAUGGGGGGAACCCUGAUGCAGCGACGCCGCGUGGGUGAAGGAGCGUUUCGGCGCGUAAAGCCCUAUCGGCAGGGAAGAAGGAGGACGGUACCUGACUAAGAAGCCCCGGCUAACUACGUGCCAGCAGCCGCGGUAAUACGUAGGUGGCGAGCGUUGUCCGGAUUUACUGGGCGUAAAGGGAGCGUAGGCGGACUUUUAAGUGAGAUGUGAAAUACUCGGGCUCAACUUGAGUGCUGCAUUUCAAACUGGAAGUCUAGAGUGCAGGAGAGGAGAAUGGAAUUCCUAGUGUAGCGGUGAAAUGCGUAGAGAUUAGGAAGAACACCAGUGGCGAAGGCGAUUCUCUGGACUGUAACUGACGCUGAGGCUCGAAAGCGUGGGGAGCAAACAGGAUUAGAUACCCGAGUAGUC